GUCCAGACUCCUACGGGAGGCAGCAGUGGGGAAUAUUGCACAAUGGGCGCAAGCCUGAUGCAGCCAUGCCGCGUGUAUGAAGAAGGCCUUCGGGUUGUAAAGUACUUUCAGCGAGGAGGAAAGGUUAACGGUUAAUACCCGUUAGCUGUGACGUUACUCGCAGAAGAAGCACCGGCUAACUCCGUGCCAGCAGCCGCGGUAAUACGGAGGGUGCGAGCGUUAAUCGGAAUUACUGGGCGUAAAGCGCAUGCAGGC
rnacentral:rRNA from 1 species